rnacentral:rRNA from 1 species
AACGCGAAGAACCUUACCUGGCCUUGACAUCUACGGAAUUCUUCAGAGAUGAGGAAGUGCCUUCGGGAACCGUAAGACAGGUGCUGCAUGGCUGUCGUCAGCUCGUGUCGUGAGAUGUUGGGUUAAGUCCCGCAACGAGCGCAACCCUUGUCCUUAGUUGCCAUCAUUAAGUUGGGAACUCUAAGGAGACCGCCGGUGACAAACCGGAGGAAGGUGGGGAUGACGUCAAGUCAUCAUGGCCUUUAUGGCCAGGGCUACACACGUGCUACAAUGGCAGGUACAGAGGGAAGCCAACGCGCGAGCGGGAGCCAAUCCCAGAAAGCCUGUCGUAGUCCGGAUCGGAGUCUGCAACUCGACUCCGUGAAGUCGGAAUCGCUAGUAAUCGCAGAUCAGCAUUGCUGCGGUGAAUACGUUCCCGGGCCUUGUA